AAGUCGUAACAAGGUUUCCGUAGGUGAACCUGCGGAAGGAUCAUUAACACGUAUCCAAACGUUAAAACCCCCCCCGUGAACCUUCAUCCUGCUCUUGUAACCCGCGUAGUUCGCAAUCUCUGAUAAAUCAGAGCCCGGAAAGUUGUAGUGAUUCAGAGUCAUUGAUUGUGCAAGGAUAGCGCUUCUACGAUUCCUGUAGACCGUACACUCGGGCAGGAGCUUUGCCAAAGGGUCCCAUGCCCCCUAAUAACCCCACAGUUUAAUGUGAAGCUCAAUGUAAUACAUUGGGUAAAAACACCGAACAACUGUUAACAAUGGAUAUCUUGGUUCUC
rnacentral:misc_RNA from 1 species